rnacentral:rRNA from 1 species
AGGUAAGCUACUAAGAGCGAAUGGUGGAUGCCUUGACUGGUAAAGGCGAUGAAGGACGUACUAGACUGCGAUAAGCUACGGGGAGCUGUCAAGAAGCUUUGAUCCGUAGAUUUCCGAAUGGGUCAACCCAAUGUAUAGAGAUAUACAUUACCUAUAUAGGAGCGAACGAGGGGAAUUGAAACAUCUUAGUACCCUCAGGAAAAGAAAUCAAUAGAGAUUGCGUCAGUAGCGGCGAGCGAAAGCGCAAGAGGGCAAACCCAGUGCUUGCACUGGGGGUUGUAGGACUGCAAUGUGCAAGAGGUAAGUUUAGCAGAACAUUCUGGAAAGUAUAACCAUAGAGGGUGAUAGUCCCGUAUGCGAAAAACAAACCUUAGCUAGCAGUAUCCUGAGUAGGGCGGGACACGAGGAAUCCUGUCUGAAUCCGGGUCGACCACGAUCCAACCCUAAAUACUAAUACCAGAUCGAUAGUGCACAAGUACCGUGAGGGAAAGGUGAAAAGAACUGAGGUGAUCAGAGUGAAAUAGAACCUGAAACCAUUUGCUUACAAUCAUUCAGAGCCCUAUGUAGCAAUACAGGGUGAUGGACUGCCUUUUGCAUAAUGAGCCUGCGAGUUGUGGUGUCUGGCAAGGUUAAGCAAACGCGAAGCCGUAGCGAAAGCGAGUCUGAAUAGGGCGCUUAGUCAGAUGCUGCAGACCCGAAACGAAGUGAUCUAUCCAUGAGCAAGUUGAAGCUAGUGUAAGAACUAGUGGAGGACUGAACCCAUAGGCGUUGAAAAGCCCCGGGAUGACUUGUGGAUAGGGGUGAAAGGCCAAUCAAACUUCGUGAUAGCUGGUUCUCUCCGAAAUAUAUUUAGGUAUAGCGUUGUGUCGUAAUAUAAGGGGGUAGAGCACUGAAUGGGCUAGGGCAUACACCAAUGUACCAAACCCUAUCAAACUCCGAAUACCUUAUAUGUAAUCACAGCAGUCAGGCGGCGAGUGAUAAAAUCCGUCGUCAAGAGGGAAACAACCCAGACUACCAGCUAAGGUCCCUAAAUCUUACUUAAGUGGAAAACGAUGUGAAGUUACUUAAACAACCAGGAGGUUGGCUUAGAAGCAGCCAUCCUUUAAAGAAAGCGUAAUAGCUCACUGGUCUAGUGAUUUUGCGCGGAAAAUAUAACGGGGCUAAAGUAAGUACCGAAGCUGUAGACUUAGUUUACUAAGUGGUAGGAGAGCGUUCUAUUUGCGUCGAAGGUAUACCGGUAAGGAGUGCUGGAGCGAAUAGAAGUGAGCAUGCAGGCAUGAGUAGCGAUAAUUAAUGUGAGAAUCAUUAACGCCGUAAACCCAAGGUUUCCUACGCGAUGCUCGUCAUCGUAGGGUUAGUCGGGUCCUAAGUCGAGUCCGAAAGGGGUAGACGAUGGCAAAUUGGUUAAUAUUCCAAUACCAACAUUAGUGUGCGAUGGAAGGACGCUUAGGGCUAAGGGGGCUAGCGGAUGGAAGUGCUAGUCUAAGGUCGUAGGAGGUUGUACAGGCAAAUCCGUAUAACAAUACUCCGAGAACUGAAAGGCUUUUUGAAGUCUUCGGAUGGAUAGAAGAACCCCUGAUGCCGUCGAGCCAAGAAAAGUUUCUAAGUUUAGCUAAUGUUGCCCGUACCGUAAACCGACACAGGUGGGUGGGAUGAGUAUUCUAAGGCGCGUGGAAGAACUCUCUUUAAGGAACUCUGCAAAAUAGCACCGUAUCUUCGGUAUAAGGUGUGGUUAGCUUUGUAUUAGGAUUUACUCCGAAAGCAAGGAAACUUACAACAAAGAGUCCCUCCCGACUGUUUACCAAAAACACAGCACUCUGCUAACUCGUAAGAGGAUGUAUAGGGUGUGACGCCUGCCCGGUGCUCGAAGGUUAAUUGAUGGGGUUAGCAUUAGCGAAGCUCUUGAUCGAAGCCCGAGUAAACGGCGGCCGUAACUAUAACGGUCCUAAGGUAGCGAAAUUCCUUGUCGGUUAAAUACCGACCUGCAUGAAUGGCGUAACGAGAUGGGAGCUGUCUCAAAGAGGGAUCCAGUGAAAUUGUAGUGGAGGUGAAAAUUCCUCCUACCCGCGGCAAGACGGAAAGA